rnacentral:rRNA from 1 species
UACAGAGGGUGCAAGCGUUAAUCGGAAUUACUGGGCGUAAAGCGUGCGCAGGCGGUUUUGUAAGUCUGUCGUGAAAGCCCCGGGCUCAACCUGGGAAUUGCAUUGGAGACUGCAAGGCUUGAAUCUGGCAGAGGGGGGUAGAAUUCCACGUGUAGCAGUGAAAUGCGUAGAGAUGUGGAGGAACACCGAUGGCGAAGGCAGCCCCCUGGGUCAAGAUUGACGCUCAUGCACGAAAGCGUGGGGAGCAAACAGG